rnacentral:rRNA from 1 species
AACGAACGCUGGCGGCAUGCCUAACACAUGCAAGUCGAACGAGACCUUCGGGACUAGUGGCGCAUGGGUGCGUAACGCGUGGGACCCUGCCCUUAGGUUCGGAAUAAUUCUCUGACAGGGGUGCUAAUAUCGGAUAAUGUCCUCGGACCAAAGAUUCAUCGCCUUUGGAUGGGCACGCGUUGGAUUAGCUUGUUGGUAGGGUAAGAGCCUAUCAAGGCGACGAUCGAUAGCUGGUCAGAGAGGAUGGGCAGCCACACUGGGACUGAGACACGGCCCAGACUCCUACGGGAGGGGGCAGAGGGGAAUAUUGGACAAUGGGCUAAAGCCUGAUCCAGCAAUGCCGCGUGAGUGAUGAAGGCCUUAGGGUUGUAAAGCUCUUUUACCCGGGAUGAUAAUGACGGUACCGGGAGAAUAAGCACCGGCUAACUCCGUG